rnacentral:lncRNA from 1 species
GACGCACAUAAACGCCAAAACUUUUAUAUCUUCCAAAACCUUGGACACGGAGAUCUGCUUAUCGUGCGUGCGCGAGCGUUUGGUAUUUUUGUCUUGGCAGUGGGAUGGGGGUUUUAUAUUUGCAUUCACAAUACAUCAGUUGUUAGAAAAAUGUUGGUUCCUGGUUCUUGUUGAUAAAUAGGUGUUUGAUGUUCUAGCUGCUGCCAUGGUUCUCGCCUUUCUUGGAUGGGGGAGUUUUAUCAUCUGCAGGCUUGGUUUUAAAAUGCGCGCAUAAUGCGUGAUGCGCCCGUUGCGCUAGUAAGAGCGCAUCGCAACACCUGAUGUGUUGCGUUUACAUGAUGCGGUGAUAUUGCGACAAUUUCGCGUAAUGCACCCUUCGCAAAAUGCGCCAUGAUGUACGCAUCAUUGUUUGUUAUGUUUUUUUUCCCCAGAUUUUAUGAAAUGGGUUGGGUUUUUUCAAUAAUUAAUAUUUUAGCAUGCUUGAUUUGAACCAUUAUGGUUCCUAAACACUUUUUAUGGUUCUAGAAACAUUUUAGGAAGCUUGAUUUGAACCAAAAAGCACAAUUCUUAUAUUAUUAUGUCGAUUGUUUUAGUAUAAAUAAUUUUUUUAGUAUAUUUUUAUAAAGAGCGCACCGCAUACGGAGCGCAUCACGCAUUACGCAUCACGCAUCAGAUUUUUGGACCAAACGCAUCGGAGCGCAUCACGCAAUUUAAAUCCAAGCUUACAGGAACAUGUGGGUCUCAGGCAUGAGAAGUUAAAAAAAUGGUUUGCGGAACAAAGGCAAAAAAACUAACUCACUGGCCAAAUACACCAAUCAUGUGUGAAAGCACUAAAAAAGAAUCAUUGCAGUUCGAUUAAUUCCAUUUGUAGAUGUAUGUAAGCAUAACCAAACCAAAAAAGAUUAUCAAAUAAAGAAUUAAUCAAUUGUGUC